AUUGAACGCUGGCGGCAGGCUUAACACAUGCAAGUCGAGCGAGCGGCGGACGGGUGAGUAAUGUAUGGGAAACUGCCCGAUGGGGGGGGAUAACUACUGGAAACGGUAGCUAAUACCGCAUACCAUCAGAGGUGCCCAUAUGGGAUGAGCUAGUAGGUGGGGUAAAGGCUCACCUAGGCGACGCUCCCUAGCUGGUUUGAGAGGGUGACCAGCCACACUGUGACUGAGACAGGGACCAGACUCCUACGGGAGGCAGAAGUGGGGAAUAUUGGACAAUGGGGGCAAGCCUGAUGCAGCCAUGCCGCGUGUGUGAAGAAGGCCUUCGGGUUGUAAAGUACUUUCGGCGAGGAGGCGUUACUCGCAGAAGAAGCACCGGCUAACUCCGUGCCAGCAGCCGCGGUAAUAC
rnacentral:rRNA from 1 species